GGAGGGCAAGUCUGGUGCCAGCAGCCGCGGUAAUUCCAGCUCUGAUAGCGUAUAUUAAAGUUGUUGCAGUUAAAAAGCUCGUAGUUGCAGUUUAGGAUUCCGUUUUUAUGGUCGGCUGUGAUAAACAGUUUUGUACUGUAAAGGCAAUCCUUUCCUACUGGUUACUCGACUCUGUCCUUUACUGGAUGGAGUAGUGUCGCAAGGCAUCGUUUUAUAUAAUAUUGCUCUUCAUCGUAGUUUUUGGGUAAAACUGAAGGUGAAAGUGAAGGGAUCACAGUAUUGUGUAAAAUGGGGUUCCAGUUCAUUUACUUUGAGUAAAUUAGAGUGUUCAAAGCAGCCUCUUGGGGCAUUGAAUAUAUUAGCAUGGGAUAAUAGAAUAGGACUCUUGUCUAUUUAUUGGUUUAUAGAUUUAGAGUAAUGAUUAAUAGGGAUAGUUGGGGGCACUUGUAUUCAAUAGUCAGAGGUGAAAUUCUAGGAUUUAUUGAAGACAAACUUCAGCGAAAGCAUUUGCCAAGGAUGUUUUCAUUAAUCAAGAACGAAAGUUAGGGGAUCGAAGACGAUUAGACACCGUCGUAGUCUUAACUAUAAACUAUGCCGACCAGGGAUAUGAGGAUUUUUAUUUAUACUAUUAAGUUAGUAUAAUUCCUUGUGCACCUUGUGAGAAAUCAUAAGUGUUUGGGUUCUGGGGGGAGUAUGGUCGCAAGGCUGAAACUUAAAGGAAUUGACGGAGGGGCACCACCAGGAGUGGAGCCUGCGGCUUAAUUUGACUCAACACGGGAAAACUUACCAGGUCCAGACAUUUGAAGGAUUGACAGGUUGAUAGCCCUUUCUUGAUUAAAUGGGUGGUGGUGCAUGGCCGUUCUUAGUUGGUGGAGUGAUUUGUCUGGUUAAUUCCGAUAACGAACGAGACCUCUGCCUUUAAAUAGAGAUAGUUAUAAGAAAUUAUAGCUAGUAUAAACUCUUCUUAAAGGGACUUUUGGUUUUUAAUCCAAAGGAAGUUAGAGGCAAUAACAGGUCUGUGAUGCCCUUAGAUGUUCUGGGCCGCACGCGCGCUACACUGACAAGUUCAAAGAGCAAUUUCAUUAUGUCCUUCUCCGAGAGGAGUGGGUAAUCUUUUAAAGCUUGUCGUGAUGGGGAUAGAUGAUUGCAAUUAUUCAUCUUGAACGAGGAAUUCCUAGUAAGCGCAAGUCAUCAGCUUGCGUUGAUUACGUCCCUGCCCCUUGUACACACCGCCCGUCUGAAGCACAAACCAAGCGUCUUCAACCAGACUUGCCCUCC
rnacentral:rRNA from 1 species